CCAGCAGCCCCUUUUUUUCCAAACAAGGGUGUGAACCCGCCUGGGGACGAGGCCUGGUCUUGUGGAAACUGGACUUAGCUUCACGGGGCAGAUCGCUCUGGCCCAGGGUGGUGGGUAAC
rnacentral:lncRNA from 1 species